rnacentral:snoRNA from 1 species
CUUCUGCGGUGAUGAAAUUAAUUUUCGCAUGUCAGACUUCAGAGAUUUUUCAUUAAAUCAAUGAGAUGAAUAACUUCACUUUGACCUGAGCAGAAG